AUCGAUUGCUUCCGCAUUGUUGAAGAAAGGACCCAAGUAAAACUCAUUACGUCCAACAUCAGCGGGCACAAGAAAACUUGGGGUUACGUAUGAACGACUCAGAAGUUCCUGAAAGUCGUCAAAACUAAAGGAAUCGCUAGCUUGGGAUUGUAAAGCAGCCAUUGAAGAAGGAACGAAGCUUUUCAGAGUUACGUAACAAGGAAGCAAAAUAUGAACAGUGAAUCGCGAAGGAUGCGUAAGAAAUAUGAAACGUGAUUUCGUAGCAGUAAAAUGGCGUGUUCGGAGUUUAUAAGGGUUUGCAAAGCGACGCACCUUUUCAAGUUAUAGAAGGAAACAAUGAUUGAAAUUCUUUGGGAAUCGUGAACGUUGCUGAAGACGUGAAGUGAAUAUGGCAAAAUUCAAUAGUUAUUAUUAAUUCUGCCAUAUUGGGGGGUAAUUGUUGACACAUAAAAAUUCAGNNNNNNNNNNNNNNNNNNNNNNNNNUCAGCCCAAAUCGAACAGCCCAAAGAAUAAAGUCCAAUUGGAGGGUCCCCAAAUCAGAUAGCCCAAAGAACGAAAUCCAAUUGAACGAAUCAAGGUGAAUGCCCAAAUAAGGGGCCCAAUAGUGCGGUAACGCCAUCGCCCAAGUUUGCAAGUCGCUCAGAGUCUGAACGAAUAGAGUGGCAUACGGUCGUCCAAAGUCUCGCCCAAAUCUUCAAGUCGCCCAAGGUAUCAACAAACAUAACGCAUUAUGAUGCAGUUAUUAAGGCAGUUGCUAAAGUAAUUUCAUCACGUUCCACGACUCAAGGGGUUCAAUCGAAGGCGGUUGAACGAUGCAAGAUAAUGGCAGCAGUUAAAAGACAGUUGCAUGACAAAGUGGCCAUUACAAAGAAAGUGGGUAGUUAUUGGGCGAUCAAGCAGUUUUUUAGAGCAGUUAAUCACAAAGGGAU
rnacentral:lncRNA from 1 species